rnacentral:rRNA from 1 species
CACGUAGGGCGCAAGCGUUGUCCGGAAUUAUUGGGCGUAAAGAGCUCGUAGGCGGUCUGUUGCGUCCGCUGUGAAAACUCGGGGCUUAACCCCGAGCCUGCAGUGGAUACGGGCAGACUAGAGGUAGGUAGGGGAGAAUGGAAUUCCCGGUGUAGCGGUGAAAUGCGCAGAUAUCGGGAGGAACACCUGUGGCGAAGGCGGUUCUCUGGGCCUUACCUGACGCUGAGGAGCGAAAGCGUGGGGAGCGAACAGG